rnacentral:ncRNA from 1 species
AUGCGAGUGCCAAGUGGGCCACUCUUGGUAAGCAGGACUGGCUAUGCUGGAUGAACCGAACGCCGGGUUAAGGCGCCAGACGUGACGCUCAUCAGAGCCCACAAAAGGUGUUGGUUGAUAUAGACAGCAGGACGGUGGCCAUGGAAGUCGGAAACCGCUAAGGAGUGUGUAACAACUCACCUGCCGAAUCAAUCAGCCCUGAAAAUGGAUGGCGCUGGAGCGUCGGGCCUACACCUUGGAGACCUGCUGCGGAUAUGGGUACGACC